CUACGGGAGGCAGCAGGCGCGGAACCUUUACAAUGCACGAAAGUGUGAUAAGGGGAUCCCAAGUGCCUUGCUUUUAGCAAGGCUUUUGCCAUAUGUAAAAAGUAUGGCGAAUAAGUGGUGGGUAAGACUUGUGCCAGCCGCCGCGGUAACACCAGCGCCACAAGUGGCAACCGCUUUUAUUGGGCCUAAAGCGUCCGUAGCCGGUUCAGUAAAUUUUCUGUGAAAUCGUUGGGCUUAACCUAACGUCGUGCAGGAAAGACUACUGGACUAGGGACCGGGAGGCGUCAGAGGUAUUCCUGAGGGAGCGGUAAAAUGCUAUAAUCUCAGGAGGACCCCCUGUGGCGAAAGCGUCUGACGAGAACGGAUCCGACGGUCAGGGACGAAAGCUAAGGGAGCAAACCGGAUUAGAUACCCUAGUAGUC
rnacentral:rRNA from 1 species